rnacentral:tRNA from 1 species
CAGGGAAUAGUUUAAUUAAAAUAUUAAUUUUGGGGAUUAAUGAUAAGAUCUUCUUUUCUCUGA